rfam:Asian citrus Psyllid, Diaphorina citri - Florida Strain, whole genome shotgun sequence.
CAUAGCGACGAUAACACGUUGCAUGCCCCAGUUCCUAAUGGUUCACUGAAGUUGAGCAACGUUCCGCGUGAUAUCCCGGAUGAGUGACCAUCUGGGAAAUCACGGUGGUCAACUGUGG